rnacentral:rRNA from 1 species
AGUGAACGCUGGCGGCAGGCCUAACACAUGCAAGUCGAACGGCAGCACAGUAAGAGCGUGCUCUUAUGGGUGGCGAGUGGCGGACGGGUGAGGAAUACAUCGGAAUCUACCUUUUCGUGGGGGAUAACGAAGGGAAACUUACGCUAAUACCGCAUACGACCUUCGGGUGAAAGCAGGGGACCUUCGGGCCUUGCGCGAUUAGAUGAGCCGAUGUCGGAUUAGCUAGUUGGUGAGGUAAAGGCUCACCAAGGCGACGAUCCGUAGCUGGUCUGAGAGGAUGAUCAGCCACACUGGAACUGAGACACGGUCCAGACUCCUACGGGAGGCAGCAGUGGGGAAUAUUGGACAAUGGGCGCAAGCCUGAUCCAGCCAUGCCGCGUGGGUGAAGAAGGCCUUCGGGUUGUAAAGCCCUUUUGUUGGGAAAGAAAAGCAGUCGAUUAAUACUCGAUUGUUCUGACGGUACCCAAAGAAUAAGCACCGGCUAACUUCGUGCCAGCCGCCGCAGUAAUAC